AGAAGGUCUGAAAAAUAAAAGCCACAAAAAAAAAGAAAACAAAACUUGAAUUCAGAAAUGUAGCCAUAUUUUAUCCUGUCAUUGUGUGUUAGCGUGAAUUCUGGAUAUAUAAAUGUGUGAGAACGUAUCUGAGCCACUAUGUAACUGCAUGGUCUGUAAUUGCUGCGCAGAGUACAAAGAACAGGGCCAAAACAAAAAGUAAAACUGAAGGAUCUGAGGAAUUCUGCAUGGGAUGGAACAAAACAAGCUCUGAGGUAUCAACAAAAGAGAGCAUUACGUCAGUAAGGUUUUCAGCUCAUACCAAGUGUUUGUUGCUGUCACACCAAGCAGCCUUGGACAAGCCCAAGAAUUUACAGCAAGGUUUCCAUGUAGAGAAUCACCUCUCCUAAAGCUCCCGCACUUAAAUUCCUACAUCAUACUGAGAGAUUAGUGCAAGGCUUUUCCAGUGCAAAAGGAAAUUAUUUAAAUUAUUUAAAUAAUUGUUUAAAUUAUAAUCAGUAUAAAUCUGGAUUUGAAAUAAGAAAAACAAGAAGACAGGCACAACAGGUAUUAUACUUACUUGCUGAUCAUCCAUAUCCUGAAAAGCACCAGUCCCUGUGCCAUUAGUUGUCGGAUUUUCACAGAAGUGAAGAGAUGAGCUGCUGUCACUUUUCUUGUGCCCUGGACUUGUGCUGCUGUCAGAGGAGGGCCGUGAAGAGACAAAGAGGCUGAUAUUAUCAAAAUCAUCAUCCCAGAAGUUGUUCUCUGUUACAUCCUUCUGCACUUUGGCUGGAUUGUAAGGCCUCAGGAAGGAGGAAUACACGUACCCCUUAAGGUCUACAUAUCAGAAUAGAAAGAGAAAAAAUAAGCAGCAAAAUACAGUUAAAUGAUUUCAAAACCAACUGUUUUAUGCAGCUGUCAGUAUGACAGAGGCAAACAGAUGGGGCCGAAAAUGAAAAGAAAUCAAUAGCCCAAAGGGAAGCUGUUAUUGGGAUGUUUGUGCAAAGAACUUACUUCCUGUGUCAACAAGCCAUCUGCUCGUACUUCCGAAGGGGUCCUUUUGCUCCACGACAGCCACCAAUUCUCCUUCAUGCAAAUCAAUAUCGAAUUCCUGCGUGGCAUUGCACUUGCGCUUAGCUUGAUACAGCAGUUCCGUGCUGUACGUAGACAGCAGCUUGGACCUGUCGGCUUCUGUUUGGCGUGGGGAUUCGAGCUGAAAAGAAGAAAAAUUAUUCACUAGGAAUAAUGCUGAAGCCAUUUCUAGAACAGCACAGAUGCAUAAAAGGAACUAGUGUACACUGCAUGUGGCAGCUGACUACUUUCUUACACACAGAUCAAGGAGUUAGUUACACGGCUAUAGGUAACCAAAUCUCCUUUGCAUAUGCAGCCAGGGCCUGCCCAACUGUUCUAUUAAUAGCUGACCAAUAAAGGGCAGAUUUCAAAGAAAGAAAUACAGGAAUAUAAUGAAAUAUCUCUUAGCCAGUACUCCACAAGAGCCUGUGUUCUGCAUGUGAACUGUAACUGCUUUAAUUGUUUUUACUAACAAUGAUCGUUGAAUUCCUAUGUAAAAUUGCAAAAAACAUAAUAAAAUUAGCAGAGGUAUGCUAGGGUCAUAUAACAACUUGCAUGACAAGGCACUGGGCAAAAACUCCGUAGAAACCGAAUGGUCCAAAAUUAUUUUGCUAUAUAAGGGCAAGGUGCUAUUAACUGCGGGAAGCAUAUUCGGUCAGUUUGGUUAGAGGGCAGAGAUGGAGAUGCUGCACAUCAAUGGGACUCCAAUGUACCACAGUCACAAGAGUAUGUGUGCCUUACUGAUGCUAAAAUGAAUCCUCCCGCUUCUUUGGCUUCUCCUGUAAAUCUGCAGCUGACUUUAUAUUGUACUGUAUAUAUAUAUGGCUUUAUAUUGUUCUGUAAACUGGAUGCCUGAAAGCUCUGUAAAUGUCUGAGAAGGUUGAGAACCACAGGCAUGCAGAUUUCCUGCUGGACUUUAUGUGUCUUCUGCUGUGGGGGUGUAUGUGUGGGCAUACGUGUGUAAACACAAAUAUAAACAGAACUGCAGCUAAGAAUCAGGAAAAGUUCUGAAUUCAAAGAAUAAGAUUCACUGCAAGAGUGUUUAACAAGAGAAAUGAUCCAGUUUUGCAUAUGCAGCCUUGAACUUAACCUGUGCUUAAAGACCUAAGGAUAAUCAAAGGUGAUUUCAAGCAGAUUUUCAAAAUAACAUGAAGACAGCGUCAAAAAUCUUGUGAAGCUACUGGUCAAUAGAACAGCUUCAUUCCAAUAACCCAAUUCAGAUUCCCAAUGAAGGGAGCAAGCCCUCUAAGUGGCAUAAAUAUGGAUUUGUCUCUAAAGUGAUCAAAAGCGGAUGAUUCAUAUACAAUUCAGAUGUAUGAUACUCACUGGAGAAGGGACAGGUUUCUUUUUUUCAAAGCUCAGUUUUCUUUCAAUAAAGGUUGCGCUGCUGUUUUCUUUUACAAAAUUCAGCUUGUGAACCUCCUCCAUCAACUGAUUCUGCACUUCACAGAUGCUUGAGGAAGACAGCUGCAAACACAAAGCUACCCCUGACUAUAAAGUGCUUUGUUCAUCCCUGGGUGGAAAGGGAUACUCCAGAAGGGCCUCAGUACAACGUGUUUCACAUGUAGAGGCUUAUCCAGAUACAGUUACUAGGCUGCAGUUCAGGUCCAGCUCUUCUCCUGUUGACCUCUGAAGGUAGCUGUUGUAGUCCAACAACUUGUCGUAGCGCUUCUGGAUGAGCUUCUGUGGGCCUGCAAACAAGGCUUGUAGUGCUGAGAGAGGAAUCA